AGCUCCUCUCCAUUCUUAGAGCCAACUGAUUCUGCUUUCAUUACAAUGGAGUAUCUGAAGUAUCUGAUGCUGAUAUUUCUCAUCAAUGACACAAGAAAAGCUAUAGAAGCACAACGCUGUGGGGUUUCCUCACUGAGCACUGGUAUUGUGGGAGGUGAGGAUGCACCUGCAGGGAACUGGCCUUGGCAUGUCAAUCUACACUUUUCUGGCUAUUACAUCUGUGGAGGAUCCCUCAUCAGCCAUGAAUGGGUGCUCACUGCGGCUCACUGUGUUUCCUUCUUACCCUCAGCCAGAUACUGGACUGUUUAUCUGGGCAGACAAAGCCAAAACCUUUCAGUCUCUAACCCAAAUGAGGUGAGUCGAAGAGUCCAAUCCAUCAUUAAACAUCCAGACUACGACUCAUAUCAGUUCACCA